CCUACGGGUGGCAGCAGUGGGGAAUAUUGGACAAUGGGGGCAACCCUGAUCCAGCCAUGCCGCGUGUGUGAAGAAGGCCCUCGGGUUGUAAAGCACUUUCAGUGAGGAAGAACGCCUGGUGGUUAAUACCCAUCAGGAAAGACAUCACUCACAGAAGAAGCACCGGCUAACUCCGUGCCAGCAGCCGCGGUAAUACGGAGGGUGCGAGCGUUAAUCGGAAUUACUGGGCGUAAAGCGCGCGUAGGUGGCUUGAUAAGCCGGUUGUGAAAGCCCCGGGCUCAACCUGGGAACGGCAUCCGGAACUGUCAAGCUAGAGUGCAGGAGAGGAAGGUAGAAUUCCCGGUGUAGCGGUGAAAUGCGUAGAGAUCGGGAGGAAUACCAGUGGCGAAGGCGGCCUUCUGGACUGACACUGCCACUGAGGUGCGAAAGCGUGGGUAGCAAACAGGAUUAGAUACCCCAGUAGUC
rnacentral:rRNA from 1 species